AGCGAACGCUGGCGGCAGGCCUAACACAUGCAAGUCGAACGGAUCCUUCGGGAUUAGUGGCGGACGGGUGAGUAACACGUGGGAACGUGCCCCUUGGUUCGGAACAACUCAGGGAAACUUGAGCUAAUACCGGAUGUGCCCUUCGGGGGAAAGAUUUAUCGCCAUUGGAGCGGCCCGCGUAGGAUUAGCUAGUUGGUGGGGUAAAGGCCCACCAAGGCUACGUUCCUUAGCUGGUCUGAGAGGAUGAUCAGCCACAUUGGGACUGAGACACGGCCCAAACUCCUACGGGAGGCAGCAGUGGGGAAUCUUGCGCAAUGGGCGGAAGCCUGACGCAGCCAUGCCGCGUGAAUGAUGAAGGUCUUAGGAUUGUAAAAUUCUUUCACCGAGGACGAUAAUGACGGUACUCGGAGAAGAAGCCCCGGCUAACUUCGUGCCAGCCGCCGCCGUAAAAC
rnacentral:rRNA from 1 species